rnacentral:sRNA from 1 species
UUUUUAAUUCAAAGAGCAUAACAAAAUGACAGAAAAAAUAAGACGAAG